GAUGAACGCUAGCUACAGGCUUAACACAUGCAAGUCGAGGGGAAACGGCAUUUAGUGCUUGCACUGAAUGGACGUCGACCGGCGCACGGGUGAGUAACGCGUAUCCAACCUACCCAUUACUGUGGGAUAACCUGCCGAAAGGCAGACUAAUACCGCAUGGUCUUCGAUGACGGCAUCAGAUUUGAAGUAAAGAUUUAUCGGUAAUGGAUGGGGAUGCGUCUGAUUAGCUUGUUGGCGGGGUAACGGCCCACCAAGGCAACGAUCAGUAGGGGUUCUGAGAGGAAGGUCCCCCACAUUGGAACUGAGACACGGUCCAAACCCCUACGGGAGGCAGCAGUGAGGAAUAUUGGUCAAUGGACGAGAGUCUGAACCAGCCAAGUAGCGUGCAGGGUGACGGCCCUAUGGGUUGUAAACUGCUUUUGUAUGGGGAUAAAGUCAAUCACGUGUGAUUGUUUGCAGGUACCAUACGAAUAAGGACCGGCUAAUUCCGUGCCAGCAGCCGCGGUAAUACGGAAGGUUCGGGCGUUAUCCGGAUUUAUUGGGUUUAAAGGGAGCGUAGGCCGGAGAUUAAGUGUGUUGUGAAAUGUAGACGCUCAACGUCUGACUUGCAGCGCAUACUGGUUUCCUUGAGUACGCACAACGUUGGCGGAAUUCGUCGUGUAGCGGUGAAAUGCUUAGAUAUGACGAAGAACUCCGAUUGCGAAGGCAGCUGACGGGAGCGCAACUGACGCUUAAGCUCGAAGGUGCGGGUAUCGAACAGG
rnacentral:rRNA from 1 species